rnacentral:rRNA from 1 species
UGGGGAAUAUUGGACAAUGGAGGAAACUCUGAUCCAGCAAUUCUGUGUGUGUGAAGAAGGUUUUAGGACUGUAAAACACUUUUAGUAGGGAAGAAAAAAAUGACGGUACCAACAGAAGAAGUGACGGCUAAAUACGUGCCAGCAGCCGCGGUAAUACGUAUGUCACGAGCGUUAUCCGGAUUUAUUGGGCGUAAAGCGCGUCUAGGUGGUUAUGUAAGUCUGAUGUGAAAAUGCAGGGCUCAACUCUGUAUUGCGUUGGAAACUGUAUAACUAGAGUACUGGAGAGGUAAGCGGAACUACAAGUGUAGAGGUGAAAUUCGUAGAUAUUUGUAGGAAUGCCGAUGGGGAAGCCAGCUUACUGGACAGAUACUGACGCUGAAGCGCGAAAGCGUGGGUAGCAAACAGG